UUUUAAAAUAAAAUUUGAAGGGAAAAAAAGUUGUUUUCAACUUCUGCAACUUCAGAUCCGUUGUAGUGUUCAUGCCCAGACAUGCCCAAGCAGCUGCCAGCCAAUGACUGAGCACCACAGGGGCACUAAGUGUGGCUCUUCCUGCCAAAUGUGGACUCCUCUAAUGAGCAACUUGGCUCUGAAGCUCCCAUCAGCCUGGGUGAGACUGUCUCCAAGCUGUACUGCAGUCUGAGGCUCUUCCUACCAAAUUCACUUUGCUGUUCCUUUAUUCCCAACUUUGGGAGGCUUUUACCAGCUCCUUCUCCUUUUUUUUUUUUUUUUUUUUUACCUUCACCGACCUUUCCCCUAAGAAAUACUGUCUGAAGUACUUUCUUCUUGGCAUAUUCUUCUCAAAGGACUCAAGUGUGACUAACCCUUUAGAGUACAGAAUGAAGAUCCAGGCUACACGCUGAAAACGAGAAAAAUGCCAGUCACCCCAACCUUCAGCAGCCAGCACCCUGACCAGGCAGUGGUCAUCAACAUUGAAGCAAGACUUUCCACUAGCGAAAAGAUUACAACUUGUUGAAGGCUCAGAUGAUUCUUAGCAUUUUUUAGCAACAAAAAAUUUUCAACUUAAGCUGAAAGUGUCAUAGCUGACAAAAAUACCUAAGUGAAGUCUGGAGAGAUCAGAUAAGUCCUCCCAAAAUAAAUACAAUCAGCCUGUACCAUCGAACUAGUUGGCGAUACUUCUUCAGUUUCUGCUUCGCUAUGUCCACAGCCAAUAGCACAGAUGCAAUGAUGAAAACUGAAUGAGGGAGCGACAUGUACUACAGGCAGAGUGCAAUGUGAUAAUUCACAUUGCAAUGUUCAUGGAAUUCUUUCAAAAUCAGAGACUCUAUAAUGUUGCAAUAUUUGGAAACAAAGAGAAAAAAAUAGAAUCAUUAAAUAAUCACCCCCAUAUGUGUAAUCAUUAACUUAAACAUCAUUCUAAAUAAUAAGAAACAUUUAGGGACAUCAAAUUUCUCAAGAUAGAUAACAGAAACAAAGGUUGCAAACAGAAUUACCAAGAGACCUGUAGCUACUGCCUAAAAUGCACCUGAAAUUGACUGUAUAGUUUUAUUUCUGGAAAAUCUAGCCAAGAGGUGCAGGACACAGAAAGAUGCAGAAGUGGGUGUGGAAUGAUGGAGAGAUUUACAUCUAUUCUCACUGAAUCUACAAAUAUGACUCCAACUACUCAGACAUUCCUUCCUUCAAACUAACACGGGCUAUUUCAUAUUGCCUUUGUAUAGGAAUAUAUGACAUCUAAGAGCACAAUCAUUUUACAAUUCCUUUUCUUGGUGCAUACUCUGAUACUAGUACACAUUAAGAUACUUUUCUCAACCUUGCUCUCCUGUUCCUUGACCAACUGUAUUUGUACUAUCGUGGCAGAAUCCAGCUCCAGUUCUCAGCAAACACACAGUGAUUAAUGGUGGAUGUUUUCCACCACUUUGUAGCCACUACAUGAAAUUGACCCAUUGACAAGGUGAACACCUUUUUUCUUUCAUCUGAAUCAGGACCCCUCUAUGAGUGAAAAGAGACGUUAUAAACUUAACUGGAAUAACUGGAAUUGACUAAGACCACCGAAGGCCUGUCUAGCCUAUGUGGAAAAAAAAAUUAUCUCAACAUCUUACUACUGGUUUUUAAAUUUCACACAUUUUCAGUAGAAAAUCUAUUCUCAAAUAUUCUGAAAUAUUUAAUAAAAUAUAUUUUAAUAAUCAUUUUAGGAAAUAAACGUCUCUAUAUAAUAAUAUAUUUUGUUUGGAAAUGUCAAGAUUGGUUGGAAUUCUUAGGAAAGCUUUAGGGAAGAGGUGGAAUUUGAAAUAAAUCUUGCAAAAUGUGUUAGGCUGAAGGGGUAGGGAAAGUAUCAGUGAUAGGGGUAUGAAUCAAUGCAAACAAAAUUAGAGAAAAGGAAUAUUAUCAGUAGCAAACCAAUCAUUUCAAACUGUGUCUAGUAAUACGUAUAACCUUCAUAAAAAUGCAUGGUUGUUUAUUGAUUUACAAUGUGCAGAGGACUUUAUAUGCUAACCAUUUGAUAUUUAAUUAAAUACAUACUUAUUUUUCAUAAGUAGAGCAGUUAUAAUUAUCCCAUAAUCAUAUUUAAAGAAAUGGGGUCUUAAAAAUAAAGCAUUUAUUCAAAAUGACAGGAUGUUAGUGAUAUAGGC